CGCUAAUUAAAGAGAGGAAGAACGUCGCAAAUAUGGUGCCCCUUCGAAACAUGGACGUCAUUCUAGGAUCACUCGCAACUGAUUCAGUUUUCGAAAAGUUCGUAGUAAUUACUGGAAAAAAAUGGGAAAAGAAGUAUAUUCGUUGGAUUUAUAUAUAAAGUCUGGAAUGUGGCGAAUUAUUCCUCCUGUGAUUUAUACAACUACAGAUACCGGAAGUUGAAGGAAAAGUAGAGAACACGGGAAUAUUUGGAAUUUCUUUUUCAAAAAGAAUGCAGGGGAAAAUAUUUCUCUUGCGUCACAGGUCCAGAAUAAAUAAGAUAUAUAUGUGUAGUUACAUAAAAAAAAGAAAAAUGAAGAAAACUUUCAAGUCCGCAAAGUCAAUAUAAUAUUGGAUCUAAAGAGAAUAGUGGA